AUUGGUAUCAGAGCAAGGUCAACGUUCCAGAUUUUAUUCAGAAGAUGUCACGUGGAAAGGGAUUACAAAUCAAUGAAAGUGAAAGUUCAGAUGUAUGCCCAAUUUCAAGAACAGAAUUUUCGGAAUUCCAGAAUUAUAUAGAGCAAAAAAUUGAAGAUUUGAAUGACACAUUGAAGCAAAUCUUGGCUCGAAUGUCUGCAUUAGAACUUCAUUCUCAUGGUCAAAAUAUCCACAAAAGUAAUGACUUCAACCAUACUCAAAAAAAUUUCACAAACGAAACAGGUAGCUCAAAGGGCAGAUUUCACAAUGAAGAUUCAGGAGAUUUUCGAAUGAAAAUUGACUUACCUUAUUUUAAUGGUCAUUUGAAAAUUGAAGAAUUUCUUGACUGGAUUUCAGAAGUUGAAAGAUUUUUCGAAUGCAUGAAGAUUUCUGACGAAAAACAGGUGAAAUUAGUUGCUUAUAAACUAAGAGGUGGAGCAUCUGCAUGGUGGGAUCAGGUCCAAGCUACUCGUGCCAGAUCAGGGAAAGAUCAAGUUCGAAAUUGGGAUAAAAUGAAAAAAUUGCUCAAAUCUAGAUUUCUUCCCCCUGAUUUUGAGCAGAUUCUAUAUCAACAAUAUCAGAGUUGCAAACAAGGCAAUCGGACUGUUGCAGAAUAUGCUGAAGAAUUUUAUAGAUUAUCUUCUAGGAUUGAUAUUAAUGAAUCUGAAUCUUAUAUGAUUUCCAGAUUCAAAAAUGGUCUCAGAUGGGAUAUUGAGGAAAAGGUUGCAUUACAAUCUUUCUUCAAGUUAAAUGAUGUUGUUAUGGCAUCAGAACGAGCUGAAUCACUAUUAGAAAGAGGAAAAUCAAGAACACGAAAUCUUAGCAGUAUGUCAAAUUUUCAGCAUGACAGGUCAAGGCAAGCACCCAUAUCUUCAUGUCCAAAUUUAGGAAGACUCUCAACUACAGUAGCACCAAAAUCAAAUGCACCUAUUCAAUCUGGGCGAAAUUCAUCACAAAAGAAUCCCUAUAUGCCUAACAUUGUUUCUAAAUGUUACAGAUGUAAUGAAGAAGGACAUAAAUCAAAUGUUUGCCC
rnacentral:lncRNA from 1 species